CGGUGGGUGUGGCACUGGAUCCUGAGCCUGACCCAGCCAUGCCGCGUGCAGGAAGACGGUCCUCUGGAUGGUAAACUGUUUUUAUACGGAAAAAAACCCCGGUUCGUGAACCGGCUUGACGGUACCGUAAGAAUAAGGAUCGGCUAACUCCGUGCCAGCAGCCGCGGUAAUACGGAGGAUCCAAGCGUUAUCGGGAAUCAUUGGGUUGAAAGGGUACGUAGGCGGCCUUAUAAGUCAGUGGUGAAAUCUCCUAGCUCAACUAGGAAACUGCCAUUGAUACUGUAGGGCUUGAAUAAUUAGGAAGUAACUAGAAUAUGUUUCGUAGCGGUGAAAUGCUUAGAUAUUACAUGGAAUACAAAUUGCGAGGGCAGGUUACUACUAUUUUAUUGACCCUAAUGGAAGAAAGCGAGGGUAGCGAACAAGAUUAGAUACCCUGGUAGGCCACGCCGUAAACAAUGGAUACUAGCUGUUGGGAUUUAUUUCAGUGGCUAACCGAAGGUGAUAAGUAUCCCACCUGGGGAGUACGAGCGCAGGUUUGAAACUAGAGGGAAUUGACGGGGG
rnacentral:rRNA from 1 species